GGUAGGAUCAUUAACAUUAAACGCGUUGUAUAACCCAAUACAAUGCGAUGUCCUCCUAUAUAAUCGAGUCACUAGUGAUUCAUCGCGAUAGCAGCACGCGAUGAACAGUUCCUAUGAGAACUAUACAUUGUCCUAGUCUUGUCCUUAGUGUCAUUAGUAAUUAAUAGAAAACAACUCUUAACAACGGAUAUCUUGGUUCAUGCAUCGAUGACGAGCGCAGUGAAAUGUGAUACUUAGUGUGAAUUGCGGAAUAAAGUGAAUCAUUAAGACCUUGAACGCAUAUUGCACCCUUGAAUUUACUCGAGGGUACGUCGGUUUGAGUGCGACCUAAUAAAUAGACUAGUACAUCGGGUAGUCUGACUUGAGAUUGUAGCUAAAGGAUGCUAGAGCGCUACUUUCUUUAAAAAAUCAUAAGAGGCGAGCGUAUUAGCAAUUACUAGUAAAAGGGGGCCAAUGCACUAGUAACUAGAUGGUCUAUUAGAUCGAUGAGAGUUAACGCUCGAGUCGACUCGAAUGAUACACUAGUGACUACGUGUACACUCCCUUUGAAGCUAUUUACGUUGCGUCUUCUCAAAGGGUUAGUGUCAUUAGGGUUUUUGUCUAUAAGACUAUAUCGGUGCCCUAAUGUCAUCCCUAUUCACUAAUGUCGCCUAUAUGAAUAUAUUAACAGUCGCCUCAAAUCAGACGGGAUUACUCGCUGAAUUUAAGCAUAUAAUUAAGCGAAGGAAAAGAAACCAACAGGGAUUCCCUUAGUAACGGCGAGUGAAGCGGGAAGAGCUCACGCUUAAAAUCUCGAUAGGGUAACGCCUAUAGAGAAUUGUAGUUUCGUAACCGGUAUUCACCGGGGAGGCUGUCGAGGCUUAAGUUCCCUGGAAAGGGACACCGUAGAAGGUGAGAGUCCUGUGAAGCCUUUAGACUAGUCUCUUCGAUCGUGUUACCGAUUUACAGAGUCGGAUUAUUUGAGAGUAUAGUCCUAAACGGGUGGUAAAUCCCAUCUAAAGCUAAAUAUUAGCAUGAAACCGAUAGCGAACAAGUACCGUGAGGGAAAGAUGCAAAGUACUUUGGAGAGAGAGUUAAAUAGGCCUUGAAAUUGUUAAGAGGGAAGCGAUAGCGACCUUAAUAUAUUUAACGAGUAAUUCACCGAGAGAGGGCACUCUCGUGUCGUGUAUCGAGAGCUACGGUCAACGUGGCCUCAAUGUAUGUGUGAGGGGGUUCUCUUAAGGGCAUUUUACUAGUUAAAGGGAUCAGUGUCUAUUAGAGGCGAUAGUAAAACGGUGUUGGGGUUGGAAUGAUAGGGUGCGCCUUAUCAGGAGGCUUGAUACAACGAUACGUUCGUUCUGAUUGAGGGGUUUAUGUAAACUACUACGAGUGCCAAGCGGGGGUAUCUAGUGAUAGAAGGGGUCUUCGAUUGGUUAUACAGCAUGCUGUAUAGCUGAACGGGGGUUCCCUCUAAUCGAUUAGUCCCACUCACUCGUUACGACACGUGAUGUGCAUUAAUUUAAGGUCUUUAUCGACCCGUCUUGAAACACGGACCAAGGAGUGUAACACGAGUGCAAGUGUUAUAGCGAUAUAAACUAUUACGCGAAAUGAAAGUGAAGCCUUAAUGUGGGAAAGGGGUUUCAACGCUAACACGUUGUCCCUAGCACCAUAGACCGAUCUCGAGUAAAUUUAUUUAGACGGAUUUGAGUAAGAGCACGCUUGUUACGACCCGAAAGAUAGUGAACUAUGCUUGUGUAGGGUGAAGCCAGGCGAAAGUCUGGUGGAGGCUCGUAGAGGUGCUGACGUGCAAAUCGCUCUCAGAAUAUGAGUAUAGCGGCGAAAGACUAAUCGAACUAUCUAGUAGCUGGUUCCUUC
rnacentral:misc_RNA from 1 species